rnacentral:tRNA from 1 species
AAAAAAUUAGUUAAAUAUAACAUUAAAAUGUCAUUUUAAAAUUAUUAUAAUAAUAUUAAUAUUUUUUA